rnacentral:rRNA from 1 species
UACGGAGGGUGCAAGCAUUAAUCGGAUUUAUUGGGCGUAAAGGGCGCGUAGGCGGAGAGACAAGUCAGAUGUGAAAUACCGGGGCUCAACCUCGGAACGGCAUUUGAAACUGUCUCCCUAGAGGGUAGGCGGAGAAAACAGAAUUCCACAAGUAGCGGUGAAAUGCGUAGAUAUGUGGAAGAAUACCGGUGGCGAAGGCGGUUUUCUAGCUUAUUCCUGACGCUAAUGCGCGAAAGCAAGGGGAGCAAACAGGAUUAGAAACCCUGGUAGU